ACACACACACUCUCGUCGCCGGCAAUCGUCCUUCUCCCGUUUAAUUGGUCAGUUCCUCCUUCCAGAAGUGGAUCUAACUCUACAUUUUGGAAUACUGCUGUAUCCAUUGUUAUUUUCGGUGUCAAUGGAUGCGGAUUCAAUAUAAAUUGAUAAGUUUAUAAGCUUUUCGACUAUGUUUUGUUAAUUUUUUCUAAAGUAAGUUAAUUUUAUGCAGCCUACUGCUCCUGGAGAACUAGUGAGUGCAAGUGAUUUUGAAGGAUUUGAAAUUAUUUUCUGCUUAAGGUAUGCAUCUGAAGCAUAAAGGGACUAUUGGCAAUUCAGUGCUAUUAUUCAAAUACUAUAUGAUGUGUAUUUCCUGUUUUUCAUCUGUUCAUAGAGAAAUGUGUACUUUUAUGUAACUUUGGUAUAGCAGAUGCAGCCUGCAAUGUUGAUAGAUCUUUGGUGGUGGUGGUAGUAAAAUUGAAACCUCAAAUCAAAUUUAUUGAAAUGUAGAUAAUGUUAAAACAUCCUAGCUUUUCCACAGAUAUGCAGAUGUAAUAAAUAGGGGGUUUGAUAGUUAGGAGUUAGGACUUCAAAUAUAGUGAACUUUCUGUAAAUGGCUGAAUUGCAUUUUCACCGGAAGAGUAAUGCAUUCUGUAGUAGCAUUGAAGGGGAAGCUGAUGUUUAAAGAUCAUUCCAUUUUGUGCCCAGAUUUAAUAAUCGAGUAGCUCUAGAAGCAUGUGUGCAAGCUUGUAAUGAAGGACAUGAUCUUUCUCAGGAGGGUAAUGAGAUUAUUCGUGAGGCUUGCAAAUGGAUCCCGGAUUAGAGGUUUAGAGCUACUGGCCCUUCCGAUUUUGUUGUGGCUAAAACAAAUGCAGUAUCACAAAAGGGGGAAGAAUCAGUGAAUUAUAGUUUAGCUGCAUAGGAAAUAGACAAAAAUAGCUUGAAUGGGGUAAAGUUUUAGCUCAUUUCAUUAGUGUAGUGUAAAUACUGAAAUAAAAGCCAUUUCUGGAUUCAUUGAACAUAAAUGGAAUAAGAGAUCCAUUUUCUACAUGUUAUGAAACACAUCCUCUAAGGACUGCGGUAUAACCGUAUAAGGAUGAUCCGCCACUAGAUAAAGUGGUUGAUGCACAUAGCAAAACUAUUGUUUCUGCAUAUUGUGGUAAAUAACUUUGGCUUGAGAGGAUCAAAAGAUGUUUUGAGGGGAAGGAGAGAACAUUUUGUUGCUAAGGAUAGAUGCAUCCAGAGUUCAAAUUUGGUGUAAUGCUAAAUUUGUGAUUUUGAUGAAAUGCUGGAUUUUCUGGGUUCGUUACAGCUUUAGAAGAUUGUAUGUAGCUUUGUUGUACUUUGUUGCAGUACCAGCUUGGUAUUGAGUUUAUAUUAAUAGUACCUUUACUUGUCAAAAAAAAAGAAUAAGAAAAAACAGCAGCAAGGUUAGCUUGCAUGAAGGGUAAACUAUUUUAGUUGUUAAUGGUUAAUUGAAACUUAUAGAAAUUUCCCCCCUUUCUCGUUUAUUAGAUUAAAAUGUCAAAUGAUGUGGAAGAUCCUGAAGGUGGAGAUGCCAGAACGUCUUUGGAUGCUUCUUCACCGUCUCCCAGUCACCAACCAAGUUGGUAUAGUGGCUUACUUGAGCAGGCAUCCGUUUAUGGUAUAGCUGCAGGGUACUGUCUUUCAGCGUCAUUGCUGUCCAUCAUUAAUAAGUGGGCCAUAAUGAAAUUUCCUUACCCCGGAGCACUAACUGCAUUGCAGUACUUCACAAGUGUAGCUGGAGUUCUCAUGUGCGGAUGGCUCAAGCUUAUAGAACCCGAUAAACUUGAUCUUCGAACAAUGUGGCGAUUCCUACCUGCAGCAAUUAUAUUCUACCUAUCUCUUUUCACGAACAGUGAACUUCUCCUCCAUGCCAAUGUUGAUACUUUUAUUGUCUUCAGAUCAGCAGUCCCCAUCUUUGUUGCAAUAGGAGAGACCCUCUACUUGCACCAGCCGUGGCCAGCAAUGAAAACGUGGUUGUCACUUGGUACAAUCUUUGCUGGUAGCGUGCUCUAUGUCAGUACAGAUUACCAGUUCACGCUUACAGCUUACAGCUGGGCCUUGGCCUAUUUAGUGAGCAUGUCUAUUGAUUUUGUUUACAUCAAGCACGUGGUUAUGACAAUUGGUCUGAACACAUGGGGUCUUGUGCUGUACAACAAUCUUGAGGCUUUGUUGCUUUUUCCUAUAGAGCUCCUUAUCAUGGGUGAAUUGAAGAAGAUUAAGCAUGAAAUUGAGGAUGAGUCAGAUUGGCACAGCUUUCAAGUGGUGUUACCAGUAGCCCUGUCGUGUUUGUUUGGUUUAGCCAUCUCUUUCUUUGGAUUUUCUUGUCGUAGAGCAAUCUCUGCAACAGGAUUUACUGUUCUUGGCAUAGUUAAUAAACUUUUGACCGUGGUGAUAAAUCUAGUCAUAUGGGAUAAACACUCCAAACUUAUUGGAACAGUGGGGCUGUUGAUCUGCAUGUCUGGUGGCGUUAUGUACCAGCAGUCUACAAGCAACAAGCCUAAGGAUGUGAAAGAAGUAAAUCCACAAGUAUCUGAGGAGGAGGAGGAGCAACAGAAACUGCUUGAAAUGCAAAGCAACACACACAGCAGUGACAGUCAGAAGCAAGAUACAGAAUCUGGAGACGGGAAACAGUAACUCGUUCUUGGAAUUUCCUUCUUCAUUCUUACAUUCAAUAUUCAAUAUUCAAUUGUACUCUGCAUAGAAACCUUCCCCUUAAUUUUAAUGCCAGAUGGGGGUAACUUCUAGAUCAUUUUACUAGGAAGUAGCUUUUGUGAAUGGAAAAGCAAUUGUAGAGGUGUUUUGUUGCUUGAAUUCACCAUGGCUACAAACUAAGCUGCCUCCUCCUAUUUGACCAAAACUGCAUAUUAUGUUUACUCGGUAUAGUUUAUAUUCCUUUUCAAGAAUUCUUGAAGUGAGGUAUUCUCCUCAUUCCAAAGGUGCGAGAUGGCAGAUGAAUAUUUGAACUGCUCUCUCUAACUAGCUUGUCCUCAACAAGAUAAACUCCAUGACAAUAUUCUUAACAGAAAAAGGAUAGCAAGAGAGGCGGUUUUGGGACCGUAGUGGAGAGGGUUAUUGCCUGUAUGUUCAUAUCAGGCAACUUUAUGUAAGCUGCUGCAUCUUUUUGAGCAAUUCAUCUAUUGUUAUUUCUCUGUUAUUUGUAUAUCCUUGGAGCUUAUUUUACAGAAUGAAUCGGAAAAAAAUAUUUAGUCAAGCAGCAUGACAGAAAUUCAGAACACUUGAAAGUAGGUAACAAAGGAGGUUAUUGUUUUGUUACUAUCAGCAAACCAGAACUAUUUGAGAAAGGGCACUGCCAGAAUCUAAGAUAAAUGUAGCAGAAGGAGAAUGUGGACUUUGCUGCUACUGUCUUAUGUCUUCCAUUUGCAAGGAAAAUGUAGAGUACCUUGAGAACUAGAAUGAGUUAACAACCAACAUAACAAUUACAAACUUAAUUCUGCAGUUAGACAUCAAGUUGGAAAAAAUAAGAAUCCAGUAGUGGCCCUCUUUUUAUAAACAGGCCAACCAUGCCAAAAAUGAUACAAUAACGUGCUUGUAUUUUCGUAUUACAGACGCCGAAUAAGUGAUAUCACUCUCCAUCUCUUACAGUUAAGCUCAAACCUCCAAAACUUCAAUGAAAGAGUCAUAUCGCUAAGGCAUUAUUCCACCAACCAGGGUUCUUGAACUGCUGUCCAUGCACAUAAUUCACCUUCUUUAAACCAAAGACCUGCAGCAAGGAAACAUAAAGAAAAGCGCCGAUUAAAUGAGAAUCAAGGCCAACUUAUUUUUAUCUAGAAGAUAAGUUUUCAGCUUCAUUUGCAAGAGAGAGAAUUUCCAAGAACUACCACUCAUUACUCACUAUAUCAGUAGACAAAUCUUAUAUUAGAGGGCAAAAAACAACUAGUCAGCCAUGUUAAUGGAACACACAUCCUAGUUGUAGGUGGUCUUAACUAAAAAUGUGCUACUUGCUAAAAAGGAGUAACAAGUACAAUGUCAUUGUGAACUCAACUUCAUGUUGGAUCUUUCCUCAGACUUCUUAACUAAUAGAUUCAUUUGUCGGCAGUCAUGAUAAUUAUGAUAAUAAAAAAUGAACAUGAGCAAAAAGAGGAGACAGAGACAAUAGAAAGAGAGAUUGAAGCAGUGAAUCAGAGGACAUAAUUGCUGAAAACUAGGUUAUUUUUCUCUGUAUACACAUUUGUGACUAAUUAGGCAAGAAACCAAUAAAACCAACAACUGUUCAAUCACAAACUAGAGAUUAGGCAUGAGAAAAUAGAUAAAAUGGUUAAUUAACACCAUGGUGCAAAUAAUGAACAUAAGUGCCUUCAUAUUGGAGAAAAAUCAUCUGGUCAAAGGCACUCAAAGCAAGACCCUCAACCUUGAGGUGGGAUGCCCAGGGUGAAGGUGUACUUGUCAUUAUCAUCUUUAGAGUUUAGACAAUAAUAUAAGCUCAUUUCUUGUUCAAUGAAAGACAUAAUCUACAGCAGUAAAAUUUCUAAACAUAUCAUAUCAGAGUCCUUUGUGAGUGUCAACGAAAAACUCUAGAUUUUUCCUUUGCUUAAUUAUCAAAAAGGAGACUGUAGUGGAGUUAUUGUAAUGACUUUUUAAUUUAAUUUUAUAGCACCUCUUGAAUAAUAUUACCUUACUUUAUCGAGAAAAAAUUAUCAAAAAGAAGAAAAUAAAAGGAACUGUUGCUCUUUCCUUUGAUUUCACUCAUAGAUACUAAAACUGAACUCUGAAUUCACCACUACUUUCUGUAAAGAUUCUGAUGUAAGCCUCAUUCAUGUCUAGCAACAGCUCAAAGGCGGAUGACCAAACUUAUUAACAUGUGGGGGAAGUCACAUUAAGUUAAUUCUACAUGCUAUUCAACUAGUUUUGCUAGAUUAGGAAAACUCUUACCUAUUUCACGCUUGCCGUUGUCAGGGCUAUCACUUCCAUGUACCACAUUUCUGCACAUAUAUUGCCAUCAGAAUCCAUGACUCGGUACUUGCUGAACAUAAACAGACAAAUAAAAUAAUAAAUAUAUAUGGCCGUACCUUCCAGUUUGAACAGCAAAGUCUCCUCUAAUUGUGCCUGGCUCAGCAUUAAGAGGAUUAGUUGCUCCUAUUAGCUUACGUGCUGAAGCAACAACACCAACACCCUCCCAACCCUUGCCAAAGGUAGAUACAAUUUACAAGAUUAGGAAAACAUAGACACUGUAGGAGACGUAUACAGUUUAAAACUCAAUUUUCAGAUUGCUGAUAUAUUUGGUUGGUUUGACUUAGUGAAUGAAAAAAAUGAGAAGAAACUCUACCAUACAGACAACCGGACCAGAUGUAAUGUAGUCAAUCAGCUUGGGGAAGAACGGUUUGGACUGUAGAUCCUUGUAAUGCUCCUGUAACAAUUGAAAACUUCUAAGCAACUUUACCUCACGGCACAGUUAAUAGGAAUGAAUUGACUUGGCAAUUUUAAUUCUCUUUUGGUUGAUAAAGCAAAGAUAAUCAUAGUGCUGUUAAAAAAAACAAUAGAAUUCUCAACAGUGUAAAUAGAAGCAACUGGCUAGUAAGAAGCUCCCUUGGCACCCAACCCCGCCCACCCUUAAAAGAUUUCUUCUGGUACAUAAACCUUCCACUCCUUAACUAUUACAUAAAUUAUUUGUUUUUCCUACUAGUUUCAUGUCUUGUAGUCCAAACAACAUACAAAUUUUGAAAUUGCAUUUUGUCCAACUUUACAAUUCCAAUCUUUAUGUGAGUCAACUGGAACCAAGAAUAUUGUAUUGGUUCCUAGCAUUCAUUGCAGUUAUAAAGGGUAACCAAUGAAUUAAAUGAACCUCCUUAGAUAGAGGAAAACUUUUGGACAUCUGAAAGAAAACAGUUAAUGAAUCUCUUAGACCAUGCUCUCUUCCUUUUUUCUUUUUUCAGUGGGAGUUGUGGGAUCCCAGGGGAGUAUGUUUGCAUGGAAAUGUCAACAACAACAUACCCCGUGGAAUCCCAUAAGUGGGGUCUGAGAAGGGUAAAGUGUACGCAGACCUUACCACUACCUCGUGGAGGUAGAGAGGUUGUUUCCGAAAGACCCUCGGGUCUUGGCUCAAGUGUAGCAAAUCCAAGUACAAAGAAUAAGAAAACAUAGCAACUAACAAGGGAGCAGUGCAAAUCCUACAAGAGAGGAACAAGAACACAAAAUAGUGCAUGGAAAUGCCAAUUCUUGAAAAAGAAUUAUUGACACCCAAGUAAAGCUCAUGAAAGCAAACCUCUGCUAAUUCUUUGGGGCACUGAAAAAGCUUUAAUCCAGUAAGCUUAAACCCUUUUUUCUCAAAUCUGGAUAUAAUUUCUCCAACCUAUAACAAUUAAGGAAACAUGUCUUCAACAUUCAAACAGAAAAUCAAAAAACCUGGCCAAAAACAUAAAGUUAAAGUCUUUCUAAUAAUCCAAACUCAAAGAAAGAAGAAUAUACUGAAGCGUACAAGGCCUCUUUGAACACCAUCAGGCUUAAUCAUGAUAUAAGUCUGCUCCACUUCUUCCUGAACACAAAAUCCCCAAACACAACAAAAAAAUAAUCAAUCAAUCAGCAAAGCCUCAAUCCUAAAUCAAUUGAGGGCCUGCAAUACAAAAUCCUCUAUACCCAUUUGGAAAAUUUAACAAAAAUUACACUUUUUUUAACCCAAGUCAUCAAUUUUUCUAUAGGGACAGAAUUCAUAAGAAGAAAAGAGAAAGUGGGGUUGGCCAAAAUCUUCAAUGGGUAGUCAAAAAUUGUUGAAAUUGAAGUUCUUACCAUAGAAGCAAC
rnacentral:lncRNA from 1 species